rnacentral:misc_RNA from 1 species
UUAUAAUUCAUAUCUAAGGCAUCAGCAUCUAAAUACUGCUCACAGUCGAGAUGGCACUUGUGCUGAUAUUCAUUUGUAUUAUAACAAGAUGGUAUGCCACUUGAUGUAGCAAGAAAUUGGGGUCGAUAUCGAUGCAAAGAGUCCAGAACUUCAUCAUAUGACUCAGCAACUUGGUUCAGUGACGAUUGCAAGAGAUUAUGGAAUAAGCACCACUCUUCUUCAAUAUUAGGAAGCACUAUUUCUCUGUCUUUUCUAUCAUCCAACUUGAAGAGUUGUCUUAAAUGUUCAAGGCGGUGUUUGUCCUUGAAGGCACGCUGCCAGAACUGAAACGCACAUGCAUUUGCCAUACAGAUUACCUCUUUUCUACCCGAUAAACCAGUGGUCCUAGAAUCUCCACUGAGAAAGUCGUCAAUGUACUUCAUGAACAAAUUUUCUUGGCCAAAA